CCGGCAGGAAGCUACUCCUGUCCUCCCGCUAGAAGGAAUAGCUCAGUAUUUGCUAAUUCAGCACAUGGGGAGACGUCAUAGAACGCCACUAACGCGAAUGACAAGAAUCAACUGCGUUUGUCGAAUGAAUGCAUUCACGGAAGGCCAUCACAGAGGCAUGCGUGAAACGCCCUGUAGUUUUUGGGACAACUUCCGGUGAAGGCAGCAGGGAGAGCUCCCAGGCUGGGAGAUGUGUGAACAGAGCCCCACAUUGUGGGUCACCUGUGCCGUGGAAAGGUCGCUUUGGCAGGCUUUGCAGGAGGAGCACCACUGGCGAACUCCUGGCGCGGAACCCUGCCAUUACCAGAAACAAUGUUCCUCAAGACACCAAAACCGCCCUGAUCACACCCAGCCUCCCCAAAGGAAUGGCAGCUAGCAAACCCCCGCCCCAGACCUGCAGAAAGGCCCCCAAGGGAAGGGUUAAUAAGCGGAAAUGCAUCAGCUGAAGGCAGACGACUGGGGUCUGUAUUCAUCGUGGCCCUUUCUAGGUCUGAAAGAGUUGUGUAUCUGCCUAACUUCCUAUCAGAUCAUUCAGGGAUCUGUUUGAUUGUAUUCUUCUAAGAAAAAGUUAUCAUUUUCCCUAAAUUAAAAAAACAAAACGAAACAAAAUACUCUUUCUCUUCAAUAAGCCAGAACACAGCUCAAUCAAAAUCAUGUUUUCCAAAAAAGAAAUAAAAGAUGAAGGAGGGGGGACAUGUCCAGGACUUGCUUGGCAAGGCAGCAUACAGGGUGGAUUUGGGGCCGUGGCAAGAAAGCACCGGGUAGGGUGCAACAGGUGCAGCAGGGGGCUUCCUAGCCCCCAGGUCACACACACACUGAGUCACGGGGAGUUGCAUCAGGCCCGCAGCCUACCCCCUCCAAGGGUGGAGGACGGACAUGUUUUCUUUGAGUGUCACAACCAGGCAGCAUGUAAGAGUCUUUUGACAAAGCUUAGGAAAGCUAGAAUAUUCCCUUCAGCCCCCAGCCCACUCCCCAGGGCUGAGCUGUGCUUUAAAACCUGAAAUAGCACCUUCUUCCCCCAAAGGGUAGCGCUGAAUGAAAGCUAAAACAAGUGAGACAAAAUCCAAG
rnacentral:lncRNA from 1 species